CGAUAAGCGUCGGGGAGGUGCGAAUACCCUUUGAUCCGACGAUUUCCGAAUGGGGCAACCCACCUUAGAUGACUAGAAAAUCUGUUUUGUUGGAGCAACGCUGGAUGGGUUUACACCCAUACAGACCGCUAGGUCGUCGGCCCAUGUGGGCCGCCCCCGCGGAGCGCCAGCAUUCCUCUGGAAUGCGUACGGCGCGUGAGCGAGAACAGCACAGCUUUCUAGUCAUCAUAAAUAAGGUAUCUAACCUUGAAUACAUAGGGGUUAGAAGCGAACCUGGGGAACUGAAACAUCUAAGUACCCAGAGGAAAGGACAUCAAACGAGACUCCGCUAGUAGUGGCGAGCGAACGCGGACCAGGCCAGUGGCUUUUGUGAAUAAAGUGGAACGAGUUGGAAAACUCGACCGAAGUGGGUGAUAGUCCCGUACACGUAGAAUAGCAGAAGUCCUUGAGUAGGGCGGGACACGUGAAAUCCUGUCUGAACAUGGGUCGACCACGAUCCAAGCCUAAGUACUCGUGCAUGACCGAUAGCGAACCAGUACCGUGAGGGAAAGGUGAAAAGCACCCCGACGAGGGGAGUGAAACAGUACCUGAAACCGGAUGCCUACAAACAGUUGGAGCCCAAGGUUUGUCCUGGGUGACAGCGUACCUUUUGUAUAAUGGGUCAGCGACUUAGUGUAUCGAGCAAGCUUAAGCCGGUAGGUGUAGGCGCAGCGAAAGCGAGUCUGAACAGGGCGUUCAGUUCGAUGCAUUAGACCCGAAACCAAGUGAUCUAGCCAUGAGCAGGUUGAAGGUACGGUAACACGUACUGGAGGACCGAACCCAUAUCUGUUGCAAUAGAUCGGGAUGACUUGUGGCUAGGGGUGAAAGGCCAAUCAAACUUGGAGAUAGCUGGUUCUCCGCGAAAUCUAUUUAGGUAGAGCGUCGACCGAAUACCCCCGGGGGUAGAGCACUGGAUGGGCUAUGGGGACUCACCGUCUUACUGAUCCUAACCAAACUCCGAAUACCGGGGAGUACUAGUCGGCAGACACACGGCGGGUGCUAACGUCCGUCGUGGAGAGGGCAACAACCCUGACCACCAUCUAAGGUCCCUAAGUUAUGGCUAAGUGGGAAAGGAUGUGAGGAUCCCAAAACAACCAGGAUGUUGGCUUAGAAGCAGCCAUCAUUUAAAGAAAGCGUAACAGCUCACUGGUCUAAAUAAGGGUCUUUGCGCCGAAAAUGUACCGGGGCUCAAGCCAUACACCGAAGCUGUGGAUGCACGUAUGUGCGUGGUAGCGGAGCGUUCCGUAAGCCUGUGAAGGGACAGUCGUGAGACAUCCUGGAGGUAUCGGAAGUGAGAAUGCUGACAUGAGUAACGAUAAAGGGAGUGAGAGACUCCCUCGCCGAAAGUCCAAGGGUUCCUGCUUAAAGUUAAUCUGAGCAGGGUUAGCCGGCCCCUAAGGCGAGGCCGAAAGGCGUAGUCGAUGGGAACCACGUUAAUAUUCGUGGGCCUGCAGGUGGUGACGGAUCGCGUGUGUUGUGAGGUCUUAUUGGAUUGAUCUUGCAGCGAAGCGGUUCCAGGAAAUAGCUCCUGCAUAUAGACCGUACCCUAAACCGACACUGGUGGACUGGUA
rnacentral:rRNA from 7 species